rnacentral:tRNA from 1 species
UAGCUCAGUUGGUAGAGCGUCAGUCUUUUAACCCAAAGAUCCCCGGUUUGAAUCCGGG